AAUAAGUUCAUUUUUCAGUUUAUGGAUAUAAUGUCUUGACUCUUCGUUUUAUUUGAAAUUUUUUUACGAUUAAUAUUUUUAUUAUUACUAGACGAUAAAAUAUGAAUAGUACUUUAUAUGUGACUAAUUUUUUUAAGUUUUUGUACAAAAUUUUUAAAUAAGAUAAAUGGACAAACAUUGGAUAUAGAAAUC
rnacentral:pre_miRNA from 1 species